UCUAAAGAAAGAGCUUUUCCAACCACCUUCAAUAUGCUACAUAUGCAGUCGCCAGGCCACCAAAGCUUAUAGAUUUUACUGCGCUGCCAAAUUUGCCGCGUCCGUCAAUCAGCUGUUUCUGCGUAUCAUGAGGCUAGAUAAGACUGCACAGAAAGAUGUCUUUCAUAAAACACAUUUUGAGAAACUGUUGAGACAGAUGACUGCGGAAGACAAGAUGACACAGCCCAGCAUAUGGGAGUUGGAACUCAAAGGCAUCAGACAGCGGAGUAGCCUGACCAAGUCUACUACUAUGAUGGUUGACCAUCAAGGCGU